rnacentral:rRNA from 1 species
GACGAACGCUGGCGGCGUGCUUAACACAUGCAAGUCGAACGGAAAGGCCUCUUUCGGGGGGUACUCGAGUGGCGAACGGGUGAGUAACACGUGAGUAGCCUGCCCUUGACUUUGGGAUAACUUCAGGAAACUGGGGCUAAUACCGGAUAGGAGCUCCUGCUGCAUGGUGGGGGUUGGAAAGUUUCGGCGGUUGGGGAUGGACUCGUGGCUUAACAGCUUGUUGGUGGGGUAGUGGCUUACCAAGGCUUUGACGGGUAGCCGGCCUGAGAGGGUGACCGGCCACAUUGGGACUGAGAUACGGCCCAGACUCCUACGGGAGGCAGCAGUGGGGAAUAUUGCACAAUGGGUGGAAGCCUGAUGCAGCAACGCCGUGUGCGGGAUGACGGCCUUCGGGUUGUAAACCGCUUUCGCUCAUGACGAAGCUUUGUGUGACGGUAGUGGGUAAAGAAACACCGGCUAACUACGU